AAAACAUGCAAUACAGCCUCCCGCUAUAAAACACGGAAGUUUCACUUAUUCCCUUGCUUACAGUUAUCUCUACACCAGACAGCUCCUAAGUCUAAAGAAAACAGAGUAAAAUGGGCGGUACUCAAGUGAAAAUAAUGAAAUACCAACCUCAAAAUGGAGUGUGGAAAGAAUAUGAAAAAAUACUUGAUAAUUUUAAAGAUCAUGGAAACACUUUCAAUGCAGCUGUAGAUGGAAGUAAUCGUGGAGGUCAUUUUCACAGCACACUGGACGAAGCAAAGAGAUGUGCAAGAUCCAGAUCAGGAGCUUUUGCAAUCCGAUUCUUAGAAGGAAAUUGGAAAGAUGAAUAUGGUUGUUGUUAUUAGAUUAGAUGAUGAAGGGAGAAAAUAUGCUUGAUGUCAACAGAACCUUUACCACGACUUUGGACCACUCUGUGUGCUUUUUUAAUAGACAAAACAAGACAAUCAAAAAUGAUUUAAUUUUAUGAGGGGUCCUACAAUUCAGCUUUGAUGCAAUUGUACAAAUGUUAAAUACAAAACUUUAACAUUUAUGUAACAAUAAUUUCAUUAAAAGACCAUGCCAGCAUGUUUUUUAAAUCGUGUGUUUCAUUCUGCAUCCCGAUGUUGUGGAACUAUAUUUUUUAACACCUUGGAAUAAAGACUAAAUUAUAAUGUAUUUCUAGCAUGAUCACACAUAAGGAGGUUUGAUUAAUGCAAACACAUUAAAUACUAAACAAGACUAUACAUGUUCAAUUUCUCCUGAAGUGGCACAAGGACAAAUUAGUGACAAAGGGCUUUCUGAAGAAUUUGACAAUAUGACAUAUACAGUAUUCUAAUCUAAUAUAACUGAAUGAUAAGAAGAAGAAAAUAAC
rnacentral:lncRNA from 1 species